GACGAACGCUGGCGGCGUGCUUAACACAUGCAAGUCGAACGAUAGAGCCGGAGCUUGCUCUGGUGAAUUAGUGGCGAACGGGUGAGUAACACGUGAGUAACCUGCCCUUGACUCUGGGAUAACUGCGGGAAACUGUAGCUAAUACCGGAUACGACCCUCGGAGGCAUCUCCUGGGGGUGGAAAGAAUUUCGGUCAAGGAUGGACUCGCGGCCUAUCAGCGAGUUGGUGAGGUAAAGGCUCACCAAGGCGACGACGGGUAGCCGGCCUGAGAGGGUGACCGGCCACACUGGGACUGAGACACGGCCCAGACUCCUACGGGAGGCAGCAGUGGGGAAUAUUGCACAAUGGGCGCAAGCCUGAUGCAGCAACGCCGCGUGAGGGAUGACGGCCUUCGGGUUGUAAACCUCUUUUAGCAGGGAAGAAGCGAAAGUGACGGUACCUGCAGAAAAAGCACCGGCUAACUACGUGCCAGCAGCCGCAGUAA
rnacentral:rRNA from 1 species